AGCGAACGCUGGCGGCAGGCCUAACACAUGCAAGUCGAACGAACCCUUCGGGGUUAGUGGCGGACGGGUGAGUAACACGUGGGAACGUGCCUUUAGGUUCGGAAUAACUCAGGGAAACUUGUGCUAAUACCGAAUGUGCCCUUCGGGGGAAAGAUUUAUCGCCAUUGGAGCGGCCCGCGUCUGAUUAGCUAGUUGGUGAGGUAAAGGCUCACCAAGGCGACGAUCAGUAGCUGGUCUGAGAGGAUGAUCAGCCACAUUGGGACUGAGACACGGCCCAAACUCCUACGGGAGGCAGCAGUGGGGAAUCUUGCGCAAUGGGCGAAAGCCUGACGCAGCCAUGCCGCGUGAAUGAUGAAGGUCUUAGGAUUGUAAAAUUCUUUCACCGGGGACGAUAAUGACGGUACCCGGACAAGAAGCCCCGGCUAACUUCGUGCCAGCCGCCGCCGUAAAAC
rnacentral:rRNA from 1 species